CCCCUCCCAUUAGCUGAAGCUCCCAGGCUCAUUUCCUGCUGCUCAUGUUGGCUUUCCUCUGCCUCUCUAGCCGUUCCCAGGUCUGAGUUCAAGAGACAGAAGCAGAUUUCCAAACAGCACCUUCCCAGUGGAACAACCAGCCCCGACUCUGCCCCAGCUCCCACAGCUGCCUCCAUGCCGCAUGGGUCAGCAGAGAGCACGGCCAACCUCCUCCUCACCAGGACAGAGCGCGACCAGGCCAUCAAGGAUCUGCAGGCAGAGGUGUCACGGCUCCGCCUACAACUGGAAGACAGCCUGCACCGGCCACGCCCAGACAGCCCAGCUUGUGUGGCUCCUGCUUUCAACUGCUCCACCCAGACCCAGAAAAAGCUGGUGGAUUCCUCACCCUCCUGGGGCUCCCGCUAUGGCAGGUUCUGAAUCUGAAUCGCCUGCCCCUCGGCUAUCAUCUGAGAAGAACAGAACAUUUGAGGAGCAUCCCCAGGCUGCCCAGUGGGGGACGAGACCACUGGGCAGCACGAAGCGGAGGGAAAGAGUCUCCUUCUGGGGUCAAUACACAGGCCAGGAGUACCACAUUCUGUCCCCAAAGACCAACCUGAAGGACAGUGGCACAGCCUCCUGUCCCCACUGCCAGCCCAUUAGGACCCAGGACACAGGCAAUGCUGUCUCUAGAGAGCCACUGGGAUCAUCUGCUGCUGACACCCUCCGCU
rnacentral:lncRNA from 1 species